CUAAUCUGUGAGACCUUACUCUCUUUUUCUUGGCUUAUUACACUGUCUAGGAUCUUCAGUAUAAUGUUGAAUAGAAAUGGUAAGAGCAGACAUCCUUGCCUUGUUAUCUUAGUAUUAUUAUAUCCUAUUUUAAUAUUAACAGCUAUUAUGAACAAAAUUUUUCCUGUUAAAUAGCGACUUCAGUAUUGUGUUAUGUUUUACAGCGUUAAAACAACUAUGAAGAUCUGCAGCUAUUCUUUUACUUAACAUGCAUAUGUACUACAGAGGGAUUUUUAAAUUAAUUGCAAAAUGUGCAUUAGCUAUUGACUUAGAGUGAAUUGCCUUUUGUAUCCUGAUUCACAACACCUAUUCCUGUUCAGUAUUCUUUGUCUUGAAUAGAGAAGUCUAUGUUCGUAAAGUCAUAUAAAAGGUUAUACCACUAUUUAGUAAAAAGUUU
rnacentral:lncRNA from 1 species